UACGUAGGGUGCGAGCGUUAAUCGGAAUUACUGGGCGUAAAGCGUGCGCAGGCGGUUUGGUAAGACAGAUGUGAAAUUCCCGGGCUUAACCUGGGAACUGCAUUUGUGACUGCACGGCUAGAGUACGGCAGAGGGGGAUGGAAUUCCGCGUGUAGCAGUGAAAUGCGUAGAUAUGCGGAGGAACACCGAUGGCGAAGGCAGUCCCCUGGGCCUGUACUGACGAUCAUGCACGAAAGCGUGGGGAGCAAACAGG
rnacentral:rRNA from 1 species